rnacentral:lncRNA from 1 species
UGUGUCCAAGGCAACUGGUACAGGAGGGUCAAACUGUGGUCAGAGUCUUAGGAUCAAAGCCUAAGAGUGGAACAGCCUCCAAAGGCUGAGCUCAACCACGUGUCCCAAGUCCAACCAAAGGGAACAGUGGGCUAAUGUAAAAAGAAAGCUCUUAUCUGUCUACCUGGAGGGAUGCUCAAAUGUUACUUCCUGCCAGUGUCUCCUCUGGCCCCAUCCUGAAGCUCACAGCCUGGACCUGAGCAUCCCCAAGGUCGCCAUCAGUUCAGUGUUGGGACCCCAGGAUGAUUGGGAGAGUCAAAUGUCCACCUCGAUGGAGCCACACCCCAUCUCUACUACUACUACGUAGCUCAGCUCCUACACAUGGAUUUCUGGCUGUGAAGAGGGUGUUUCCAACAACUGAGGAGAGUUGGAGACUUGGGAUCUCAGUGGACUGUCAUUGCCCCACCCCGUCAACACUCCUUCCCAUGCAGUAGGGACGGACCACGGACACUUCAGUAGGCUCCUACUCUGGAUACCAGUGUGAGAAUACGGGUGAGCAGGAAACACAUCGUUCUUAAAAGGUUUGGUGAAGCUUCAUUGUGCCUCUUAGGGCCUCGAUUGUGAUGAAGAAGGCGGGAGGCAACAGGACCUUGCUGAGCUGGAGGAGGAAUGAACGAGGCCCCUUGGCAGGAGGCUUCCAGGGAAGUCUGGCAGCCUCAGCAGCACGAGAAGGAACCCUGCAGGGUACAGUCUGUCCUCGUGGGAGAGACAUGGAGGCAGGAGUGUGAGGUCACCACUGCUGACAGGACAGUGAUGGAUGGGAGACAGUGCUCCUGCCUCAGUGACACAGAGCUGAGACUGGGCAGCUGUGUGACCGUGGGUGGAUCACAUGACUUCUCUGAGCCCCUCAUUUCCUCCAUGUAAACAGCUGCAUUUGAGUCCAUUCCUUUAUAUUCAAAUACAUUCUGUCACCUCACCGAUGGUUAAUCUUUAUUGCUAACACGACUGGGGAUAGAAUGGCUAUUUGGAAACACGUCUUCGGGUGUGUCUACAAGGGUAUUGCUGAAGAGGUGGGUGACAUCAUUCCGUGGGCUGUGGUCCUGGACGGAAAAGGAAAAUGUGCUCUGAGCGCCAGCAUUCACCUCUCUCCGUGU